rnacentral:rRNA from 1 species
UACGGAGGGUGCAAGCGUUAUCCGGAUUCACUGGGUUUAAAGGGUGCGUAGGCGGGUUGGUAAGUCCGUGGUGAAAUCCCCAAGCUUAACUUGGGAACUGCCGUGGAUACUAUCAAUCUUGAAUAUCGUGGAGGUAAGCGGAAUAUGUCAUGUAGCGGUGAAAAUGCUUAGAUAUGACAUAGAACACCAAUUGCGUAGGCAGCUUACUACACGAUCAUUGACGCUGAGGCACGAAAAGCGUGGGGAGCAAACAGG